AUGGCCAGCCCUAGCCUUGUAGUCCUGUCCAUGAUCUUGGCCUUGCAUUCCAUUCUAUCCAUGGCAUGUGCAUCCCUUUCCUCUGUUCUUCAAUGCGAGUCCGAGGUAAACUUGCACCUGUACUUGCACCAAAUCGCAUUUGGACAAGGCAUAAACCAGGUAGCAAUUGUUCUGUCCAGCCAACCAGCCGUGUUUGGUCUAACUACUGUUAUCGACUGGACUGUGAUUGAUGGACCAAACCCCAAUUCCACCAUUGUUGCCCGCACGAAGGGCAUGCAAGUGCAGGCUGAUGUAGCCGGUCCAGGCUGGUUCAACUACUUCAGCAUGGUAUUCGAGAAAAACUCCAGGUCAAGGCCAGAUGGCAAUUAUCAGUGGCACUGGAGAGUUUUCUAUGGCGUGUGGGAUCAUCAAGUACAAAGCGCUCGACAACCCCCCUCUGAAUCAAACUAUUAA
rnacentral:rRNA from 1 species